rnacentral:rRNA from 1 species
AUUGAACGCUGGCGGCAGGCCUAACACAUGCAAGUCGAGCGAGCGGCGGACGGGUGAGUAAUGUCUGGGAAACUGCCUGAUGGAGGGGGAUAACUACUGGAAACGGUAGCUAAUACCGCAUACCAUCAGAACUGCCCAGAGGGGAUUAGCUAGUAGGUGGGGUAACGGCCCACCUAGGCGACGAUCCCUAGCUGGUCUGAGAGGAUGACCAGCCACACUGGAACUGAGACACGGUCCAGACUCCUACGGGAGGCAGCAGUGGGGAAUAUUGGACAAUGGGCGCAAGCCUGAUCCAGCCAUGCAGCGUGUGUGAAGAAGGCCUUCGGGUUGUAAAGCACUUUCAGCGGGGAGGCGUUACCAGCAGAAGAAGCACCGGCUAACUCCGUGCCAGCAGCCGCGGUAAUUC